rnacentral:rRNA from 2 species
AGCUCACUGGUCGAGUCGGCCUGCGCGGAAGAUGUAACGGGGCUAAACCAUGCACCGAAGCUGCGGCAGCGACACUGUGUGUUGUUGGGUAGGGGAGCGUUCUGUAAGCCUGUGAAGGUGUGUCGUGAGGCAUGCUGGAGGUAUCAGAAGUGCGAAUGCUGACAUAAGUAACGAUAAAGCGGGUGAAAAGCCCGCUCGCCGGAAGACCAAGGGUUCCUGUCCAACGUUAAUCGGGGCAGGGUGAGUCGACCCCUAAGGCGAGGCCGAAAGGCGUAGUCGAUGGGAAACGGGUUAAUAUUCCCGUACUUGGUGUUACUGCGAAGGGGGGACGGAGAAGGCUAUGUUGGCCGGGCGACGGUUGUCCCGGUUUAAGCGUGUAGGUGUGUGUUCCAGGUAAAUCCGGUUCACUUUAACACUGAGGCGUGACGACGAGGCACUACGGUGCUGAAGCAACAAAUGCCCUGCUUCCAGGAAAAGCCUCUAAGCAUCAGGUAACAUCAAAUCGUACCCCAAACCGACACAGGUGGUCAGGUAGAGAAUACCAAGGCGCUUGAGAGAACUCGGGUGAAGGAACUAGGCAAAAUGGUGCCGUAACUUCGGGAGAAGGCACGCUGACACGUAGGUGAAGUGAUUUACUCAUGGAGCUGAAGUCAGUCGAAGAUACCAGCUGGCUGCAACUGUUUAUUAAAAACACAGCACUGUGCAAACACGAAAGUGGACGUAUACGGUGUGACGCCUGCCCGGUGCCGGAAGGUUAAUUGAUGGGGUCAGCGCAAGCGAAGCUCCUGAUCGAAGCCCCGGUAAACGGCGGCCGUAACUAUAACGGUCCUAAGGUAGCGAAAUUCCUUGUCGGGUAAGUUCCGACCUGCACGAAUGGCGUAAUGAUGGCCAGGCUGUCUCCACCCGAGACUCAGUGAAAUUGAACUCGCUGUGAAGAUGCAGUGUACCCGCGGCAAGACGGAAAGACCCCGUGAACCUUUACUAUAGCUUGACACUGAACAUUGAGCCUUGAUGUGUAGGAUAGGUGGGAGGCUUUGAAGUGUGGACGCCAGUCUGCAUGGAGCCGACCUUGAAAUACCACCCUUUAAUGUUUGAUGUUCUAACGUGGACCCGUUACCCGGGUUGCGGACAGUGUCUGGUGGGUAGUUUGACUGGGGCGGUCUCCUCCUAAAGAGUAACGGAGGAGCACGAAGGUUGGCUAAUCCUGGUCGGACAUCAGGAGGUUAGUGCAAUGGCAUAAGCCAGCUUGACUGCGAGCGUGACGGCGCGAGCAGGUGCGAAAGCAGGUCAUAGUGAUCCGGUGGUUCUGAAUGGAAGGGCCAUCGCUCAACGGAUAAAAGGUACUCCGGGGAUAACAGGCUGAUACCGCCCAAGAGUUCAUAUCGACGGCGGUGUUUGGCACCUCGAUGUCGGCUCAUCACAUCCUGGGGCUGAAGUAGGUCCCAAGGGUAUGGCUGUUCGCCAUUUAAAGUGGUACGCGAGCUGGGUUUAGAACGUCGUGAGACAGUUCGGUCCCUAUCUGCCGUGGGCGCUGGAGAACUGAGGGGGGCUGCUCCUAGUACGAGAGGACCGGAGUGGACGCAUCACUGGUGUUCGGGUUGUCAUGCCAAUGGCACUGCCCGGUAGCUAAAUGCGGAAGAGAUAAGUGCUGAAAGCAUCUAAGCACGAAACUUGCCCCGA